UAGGGAAUCUUCGGCAAUGGGGGGAACCCUGACCGAGCAACGCCGCGUGAGUGAAGAAGGUUUUCGGAUCGUAAAGCUCUGUUGUUAAGGAAGAACGAGUGUGAGAAUGGAAAGUUCAUACUGUGACGGUACUUAACCAGAAAGGGACGGCUAACUACGUGCCAGCAGCCGCGGUAAUACGUAGGUCCCGAGCGUUGUCCGGAUUUAUUGGGCGUAAAGCGAGCGCAGGCGGUUAGAAAAGUCUGAAGUUAAAGGCAGUGGCUCAACCAUUGUAGGCUUUGGACACUGUUUAACUUGAGUGCAGAAGGGGAGGGUGGAAUUCCAUGUGUAGCGGUGACAUGCGUAGAUAUAUGGAGGAACACCGGUGGCGAAAGCGGCUCUCUGGUCUGUAACUGACGCUGAGGCUCGAAAGCGUGGGGAGCGAACAGG
rnacentral:rRNA from 1 species